AGGGGGAACCUGAUGCAGCCAUGCCGCGUGUGUGAAGAAGGCCUUCGGGUUGUAAAGCACUUUCAGUUGUGAGGAAAAGUUAGUAGUUAAUACCUGCUAGCCGUGACGUUAACAACAGAAGAAGCACCGGCUAACUCCGUGCCAGCAGCCGCGGUAAUACGGAGGGUGCGAGCGUUAAUCGGAAUUACUGGGCGUAAAGCGCACGCAGGCGGUUUGUUAAGCUAGAUGUGAAAGCCCCGGGCUCAACCUGGGAUGGUCAUUUAGAACUGGCAGACUAGAGUCUUGGAGAGGGGAGUGGAAUUCCAGGUGUAGCGGUGAAAUGCGUAGAUAUCUGGAGGAACAUCAGUGGCGAAGGCGACUCCCUGGCCAAAGACUGACGCUCAUGCGCGAAAGUGUGGGUAGCGAACAGGAUUAGAUACCCUGGUAGUCCACACCGUAAACGCUGUCUACUAGCUGUUUGUGACUUUAAGUCGUGAGUAGCGAAGCUAACGCGCUAAGUAGACCGCCUGGGGAGUACGGCCGCAAGGUUAAAACUCAAAUGAAUUGACGGGGGCCCGCACAAGCGGUGGAGCAUGUGGUUUAAUUCGAUGCAACGCGAAGAACCUUACCUACACUUGACAUGCAGAGAACUUUCCAGAGAUGGAUUGGUGCCUUCGGGAACUCUGACACAGGUGCUGCAUGGCUGUCGUCAGCUCGUGUCGUGAGAUGUUGGGUUAAGUCCCGCAACGAGCGCAACCCUUGUCCUUAGUUGCCAGCAUUCAGUUGGGCACUCUAAGGAGACUGCCGGUGACAAACCCGGAAGAAGGUGGGGACGACGUCAAGUCAUCAUGGCCCUUACGUGUAG
rnacentral:rRNA from 1 species